UGAAAUUUUCAUGACUUAGACAUAGGAAAUGUACUUCGGUUCUUCCAAGCUAGGGUUCCCUGCAGCCACAAGACUCAUUCUUUUUUUUUUUUUCUUAUUGGUUGAUGAAUAGAGCUUUUUUGGCCAAUGGCCAGGAAGACCUGCAAGAUGCCUGAAGUAGGACCAGAAAAGCCCUGUACAUGGCCUCUUCAGUAGAGGGAAAAGCUGGGAGUUUGGCAUCCUCAACAACUCCCAUAUGACCACAUGGCAAGACAACUACUUCAGAGUAAGGAGAGACAUUCAGAAGACUCAGAAGCCAACACAACAAGGUUCAGGAAACUGAAUGCUUAGAGACUAGAGAGGCCUGUGUCUGUUCCUGAGUGGUGCUGAUGGAAAACGAUGAAGAUCCUGUUGAAGUCCUCAAUCCUGUGUACCUAUGUGAAGGAGAUAAGAUAAUAACCCUUCAAAAUAAUCCUGUUUGAAACAGAAACAUGGAGGCCUCCGUCUUGAACCUAUGUAUCUUCCUCUGAGAAAUCAUGCAAAAGAUUUUCCCCUGGGACAAGAGGGAAAUGGUCUGUGAAAGAAAGAACCUUCUACCUUCCAAGAUGCUGGCUUGUCAAUAGUUUUCAUGACCCACCCUCUCUCCCUAACUUCUUCCACCACUGUUAUUCAUCACUUCAUUCAUAGACUGAGUAGUCAACAGUGACGUGAAUCUUCUGGGAAUACACUGGUUUUUCCCCACGCUUGUAUUUAAUAAACAUGCCCGUGGCUUAGCA
rnacentral:lncRNA from 1 species